CUGGGAGGUGCUGGUACCCUCUGGCUGUGCCAGCUGUUCCAGCUGUGCCAUGGGCACCGCGGCUCCCACAGAGCCCUUGUCAGCCCAGAGCCCCCUCCCCUCUGAGCCCGGGCUUGGGGAGCAAAGCCAGGGAUGGGAAUUCUCCGGGGGCUCAAAUCAGACACCCAAAUUCCUCCAGCCCCUCCUUAGCACAUCAGCUGCCCCGGGCUGUGCCACCGCCCCCGCCCGACCCCUCCUGCCCCACAGAGUCACGGCAGCCUGAGGAGGAACAUCUAGAAGCUUUAUUUCAACCCUUUACAAUAGUAAGAACCACAACAUCGAGUCAGGAAAUGUUGCUAAGGAGACGACGCUCUUACAGCCCCCGGGGAGGGGAGACACAAAGGCAGAAACAACCGAUGGGCUCCCCCGGGCCGCUGUCUCCCACCGAGCACUGACCUCCCCUCCCCAGCGGAGUCCCCCUCCUCGGGCACGCCCUGCAGAAUAAUCCUAUGACACAAAAUAAUAAUAACACGUCACAUUUAGAGAACACGUCACGCGCUGCUCACGCCUCACAACAGCCCGGUGAGGUAAAAUUGAAUCCCCCCCACCUUUGCGGAUGGGGAAACUGAGGCAGAGAGGUUGAGUGGCUUCCCGAGAGCACGGAGGGAGCCGAGGGCCGGGACCGCCCUCCGGGCCGAGCCCCCGCCCCGGUCACUGCGCUCGGUGCCAGGUGAGGACAGCGGGGCUGGUGGGUGACCGUGCGGGGAGGGAGCGGGGGGAGCCGGAGCCCCUCAGAGCCCUUUCCGUGCUGCUGCUGCUCCAUGGAGCCUCUUCCGCCCCACCCGCCGGCCAUGGGGCCUCGGGGACAUUUCCCUGAGCCCGGAGGUGCCGGGCCUCGGGGACAUUCCCUGAGCCCGGAGGUGCCGGGCCUUGGGGACAUUUCACUUUCCCCUCAGCCCGGAGGUGCCGCGGCUCCGCAGGGACUCGGCCCUGCCCUCAGGGGAGCCCCGUCACCCCCGAGGCCGCCACCGCCACCAAGCUCCGAAAGAACCGGGAAUUCUGCCUAAACACGAACACGCGAGGGUCCCGGGGUCCCUCUGACACCGACACGACGCGGGGACAGCAGAGGAAGCUACAUUCAGUUUGCGGCUGGGGCGGCCUCGAGCCCGGACUCGGUGGCUCGAAGCGGAGCCCCGCCGGGACCGGGCUCGCCCCCGGCCCUGCCCCGGCCCCGCCGCCUCCCCACCGGCCUCGGGCGGCUCAGCCGCUGCUCGCCCCGAGCUCUGCGAAGCCUUUGCUGAGUCCUGCCCGGAGCCCCGCUCAGCCCCUGCCCAGCCCAGAGUCCCCCAGUGCGGCCAAAGCCCGGGACAGGAACGUGUACAUUCAACUGGCAUCUCAUUCAGGGCUCAGCUCCUGUUUCCCCCCCGGAUUUGCUGCCUCCAGCCCUCGAUGGAGCCACCGCGCCCGCAGCCCCUUCCCCAGCAGCGUUAAGGUCUCAGCAGUACCCAGCUCAUCCCACCUCUCCAGACGGGAAACUAAAAUCAUUCCCACCACACACGGCUCCUUCCCAGCCUAGCAAUAUGUACAGCCGCUUCCUCAAAAUAAACUCAAAAAAGAAAUCCGUAUUAGAACUGAAGCUGUCCUAGAAACACCACGGCAAACUAGUGUAUCUGGAUUUAGUUAUCAGCUAAACACAGGCACAACAAGUGUUAGAGAAGUGGCACAGAAGCACGGGCCGGGGGCUCGGCUGGGCCGGGCUUUGGGCAGGGACAGCCUGGGCACCGCACGCAGCCACCUCCGCCCGGUGCUCAGGAAAUCAUCGGGAAUCGG
ensembl:lncRNA